CAGCAGCCGCGGUAAUACCGGCGGCCCGAGUGGCGGUCACUAUUAUUGGGCUUAAAGCGUCCGUAGCCGGGUUGGGAAGUCCUCCGGGAAAUCUGGCCGCUUAACGGUCAGAAUGCCGGAGGAUACUCCCAGCCUAGGGGGCGGGAGAGGCCGAGGGGAUUCCCGGAGGAGGGGGGAAAUCCUAUAAUCCCGGGAGGACCGCCUGUGGCGAAGGCGCUCGGCUGGAACGCGUCCGACGGUGAGGGACGAAGGCCAGGGGAGCAAACCGGAUUAGAUACCCGGGUAGUCCUGGCUGUAAACGAUGCGGGCUAGCUGUUGGGUGGGCUUAGAGCCCACCCAGUGGCGCAGGGAAGCCGUUAAGCCCGCCGCCUGGGGAGUACGGCCGCAAGGCUGAAACUUAAAGGAAUUGGCGGG
rnacentral:rRNA from 1 species